rnacentral:rRNA from 1 species
AGUGAACGCUGGCGGUAGGCCUAACACAUGCAAGUCGAACGGCUGCACAGAGGAGCUUGCUCAUUGGGUGGCGAGUGGAGGACGGGUGAGGAAUACAUCGGAAUCUCCUCUGUCGUGGGGGAUAGCGUAGGGAAACUUACGCUAAUACCGCAUACGACCUAAGGGUGGAAGCAGGGGAUAUUCGGACCUUGCGAGCUUGAAUGAGCAGAUGUCGGAUUAGCUAGUUGGCGGGGUAAAGGCCCACCAAGGCGACGAUCCGUAGCUGGUCUGAGAGGAUGAGCAGCCACACUGGAACUGAGACACGGUCCAGACUCCUACGGGAGGCAGCAGUGGGGAAUAUUGGACAAUGGGCGCAAGCCUGAUCCAGUCAUACCGCGUGGGUGAAGAAGGCCUUCGGGUUGUAAAGCCCUUUUGUUGGGAAAGAAAACCAUCUGGUUAAUACCCGGGUGGGAUGACGGUACCCAAAGAAUAAGCACCGGCUAACUUCGUGCCAGCCGCCGCCGUAA